AUUGAACGCUGGCGGCAUGCCUUACACAUGCAAGUCGAACGGUAACAGGUCUUCGGAUGCUGACGAGUGGCGAACGGGUGAGUAAUACAUCGGAACGUGCCUAGUAGUGGGGGAUAACUACUCGAAAGAGUGGCUAAUACCGCAUGAGAUCUACGGAUGAAAGCAGGGGAUCGCAAGACCUUGUGCUACUAGAGCGGACGAUGGCAGAUUAGGUAGUUGGUGGGAUAAAAGCUUACCAAGCCGACGAUCUGUAGCUGGUCUGAGAGGACGAUCAGCCACACAGGGACUGAGAGACGGCCCAGACUCCUACGGGAGUCAGCAGGGGGGAAUGUUGGACAAUGGGCGCAAGCCUGCUCCAGCAAUGCCGCGUGCAGGAUGAAGGCCUUCGGGUUGUAAACCGCUUUUGUACGGAACGAAAAGCCCCGGGUUAAUACCCUGGGGUCAUGACGGUACCGUAAGAAUAAGCACCGGCUAACUACGUGCCAGCCGCCGCCGUAA
rnacentral:rRNA from 1 species